rnacentral:rRNA from 1 species
UAUGUGGUAGCGAAAUUCCUAGCCUUUUAAUUGGAGGCCUGCAUGAAUGGCUUGACGAGCGCCCUGCUGUCUCUCUUCCCAUGAACUUUUAAAUUAACUUUCGCGUGCAAAGGCGCGAAUGGCUGAGUUAGACGAAAAGACCCUAUGCAUCUUUACUGAGAGAGAAGAAAGUUCUUUAGCUUGGUUUAGCUGGGGCAGCUGAGGAAAAGGCAAAAUUUCCUUAAUAUAAAUCAUACUGGUGGGUUUAGAUCCAGGCUCUUUAGCGGGCUUGACAAGUAGAAAAGUUACGCUAGGGAUAACAGCGUUAUCCUUCUGUGGAGGUCUUAUCUGCAGGAGGGAUUGCGACCUCGAUGUUGAAUUAGGGAUAUACCAGAAAGGCGCAGAAGCUUUUAUUGUGGGUCUG